UUUUUCCAAGGUUAGUUUCCAAUGGAAAAGAAUGAUUAGCAAAUUAAAGAAGAAAACAAAAUGAAAAAUAAAACUUGUAGCUCUCAAGGACAACCGGGUGCAAUUUUGCGCCCGACCAAUGUGAAGAAAUGCGGUAAUUCAAACGUGAGGCACGCGCUGUGUAACCUUUUCUUCUCUGUCUUUUCAUUCUUCUUUCUUUUCCCAUUUACAUUCUUUAUUUGUUUAUUUCGUUUUGUAAUUUUUCCAUGUGCUUUCCCUGAUCUUGACCUGUCAAAGACAUUAAAAAAAAAAAGUAGUGUUAAUAAAAAAAGAACCAUAGCUUCUAGAAAGAAGGGUAACGGGAUUUUGAAUAAAUGACAAGGAGAAAAACAAAAUUGUCUCAAAGACUGGUUCGUAUCAGGCUCUAUGAAUCCAUACACUCACGCAGUUCCUGGUUUUGUCUACUGGAAAGAAGAAGAAAAAAAUCCAAUAACGAAGCAGCAACAACAAGAAAAAAAAAUGGCGUCGUCAUAAUAGCAAUCCAUUGUUUCUACAUUCUGACUGCUCUUUCUUGUUUAUAUAUUUCGUUUUUUUUUCUUCCAGCGAUUGUUAUCGUUUCUAAUAUAUGGAAGAGGAUGAUGGAACAAGUUGAAACCCGUUCUUGCAGAGUACUUUAGAAGCGGUCAAUCCAAAAAGAAUAAAAAAAAGAUACCUAUUCUGUUGCCGUGGGCUUAGCAACUACGACCUUAAUCGCAACUAGUGCUACCAGAUUUUCGAGUGCGCAAAUAAUAAUAAUAAUAAAACCAGCUUUCAUCUUCUUUGUCUGGCUGUUCGUGUAAGCUACAGUAAUUAAAAAAAGAAAAACUUUAUUAUUACAUGGCACGGGAAUUAAUUUCGUUCGAAUAGAACAGAAUCGUCAUCGUAAAAUCAUUUUUUAUGGCAACGUGUUCGUAAUUUGUUUUGGAUAAUAAUUUUUAUGAUUGUUCUUAAUGCAACAUUAAUUUAAGAGUUUUUAAUAGUUGAAACUUGGUUUACUUACUCAGAAAACUUUUUCAAUCAUUGCUUUAUCUCAAAAUUUGUUUCAUCAAUGAUCAUUUAUUACACAGUUCUCGCGGAUUUUCGAGAAACAUAAUUGACAGGCUUAGUGAUGACGCAGAUCAUGACGUCGACUGUCGUCCCCUCCCUCCCUCAGCAUUCCAAACUUUGUCUUGUACAUAAAGUGAUAUAUGUUUCUUGUCCAAUUUUUAUAGCUAAAUAGUUCAUUAAACUAUAUGAAUGGGCU